UACGGGGGGGGGCAAGCGUUGUUCGGAAUUACUGGGCGUAAAGGGUUCGUAGGUGGCCAACUAAGUCAGACGUGAAAUCCCUCAGCUCAACUGGGGAACUGCGUCUGAUACUGGUCGGCUUGAGUGCAGGAGAGGAACGCGGAAUUCCAGGUGUAGCGGUGAAAUGCGUAGAUAUCGGGAGGAACACCUGUGGCGAAGGCGGCCAUCUGGACAACUACUGACACUGAGACGCGAAGGCGUGGGGAGCGAACGGG
rnacentral:rRNA from 1 species